rnacentral:pre_miRNA from 1 species
UAUGCAUCAGUGGGGUCUCUCGGCCUGGCCUGUGCCCUCUCGUAUUCCAGGACCCCUCAGAGGAUGUUGGAGAGCCAGUUUCGGCCCAAUCCCGCAGGCCAGGCCGAGGGACCCCACUGGUGCACG